rnacentral:rRNA from 1 species
CUACGGAGGGUGCGAGCGUUAAUUGGAAUCACUGGGCGUAAAGCGUACGUAGGCGGCGUGUCAAGUCAGGUGUGAAAGCCCUCGGCUCAACCGGGGAAUUGCACUUGAAACUGAUAUGCUAGAGUUCUGGAGGGGGUAGCGGAAUUCCCGGUGUAGGAGUGAAAUCCGUAGAUAUUAGGAGGAACACCAGUGGCGAAGGCGGCUACCUGGACAGUAACUGACGCUGAGGUACGAAAGCUAGGGGAGCAAACAGGAUUAGUUACCCUGGUAGUCCUAGCCGUAAACGAUGGGUACUAGGUGUAGGUGGUUUCGAUACCAUCUGUGCCGCAGUUAACGCAAUAAGUACCCCGCCUGGGGAGUACGUUCGCAAGAAUGAA